CCUACGGGGGGCAGCAGUGGGGAAUAUUGCACAAUGGGGGAAACCCUGAUGCAGCAACGCCGCGUGAGUGAUGACGGCCUUCGGGCUGUAAAGCUCUGUCUUCAGGGACGAUAAUGACGGUACCUGAGGAAGAAGCCACGGCUAACUACGUGCCAGCAGCCGCGGUAAUACGUAGGUGGCGAGCGUUGUCCGGAUUUACUGGGCGUAAAGGGAGCGUAGGCGGAUUUUUAAGUGAGAUGUGAAAUACUCGGGCUCAACUUGAGUGCUGCAUUUCAAACUGGAAGUCUAGAGUGCAGGAGAGGAGA
rnacentral:rRNA from 1 species